rnacentral:lncRNA from 1 species
UGAUGUAUGGGUUUUUUCUGUCCGGCUAUCCUUUAUGGGUAUUGCGGACUUUCUACUUAUUGUCUGGUUCUGCUGACCGUUUAGCUUUUACUUUGCUUCUAGGAGUGUGAUAAGGCGUAUCUGGCCAUUCCAAGAUCAAAAGAGCUGAUGUAACUGCCUCUGGAGAUGGCAUCAAUAGUGGCGAUGUGUGAGGUGGUGUUGUCCGGAGCAACUCGGGAUCGUCUAGGUCGAAUCCCUCGUCAUAGUCGAUCCGGCAUCGCUUGCCUCUGUCUUUGGUUGGCUGGAGGUAGUAUUGGCGAUGGCAUGCCUUCCUGGGGUUGUACGGACUGAUGAC